rnacentral:tRNA from 1 species
GGAGACAUGGCGUAAUGGUAUCGCAGGAGAUUGCUAAUCUCUCCAAGAAUUUGUUAUUCUUGUCCGAGCUCAAUUCUCGGUGUCUCCGCCA